GCUAAUACAUGCAAGUCGAACGAAACUUUCUUACACCGAAUGCUUGCAUUCACCGUAAGAAGUUGAGUGGCGGACGGGUGAGUAACACGUGGGUAACCUGCCUAAAAGAAGGGGAUAACACUUGGAAACAGGUGCUAAUACCGUAUAUCUCUAAGGAUCGCAUGAUCCUUAGAUGAAAGAUGGUUCUGCUAUCGCUUUUAGAUGGACCCGCGGCGUAUUAACUAGUUGGUGGGGUAACGGCCUACCAAGGUGAUGAUACGUAGCCGAACUGAGAGGUUGAUCGGCCACAUUGGGACUGAGACACGGCCCAAACUCCUACGGGAGGCAGCAGUAGGGAAUCUUCCACAAUGGACGCAAGUCUGAUGGAGCAACGCCGCGUGAGUGAAGAAGGUCUUCGGAUCGUAAAACUCUGUUGUUAGAGAAGAACACGAGUGAGAGUAACUGUUCAUUCGAUGACGGUAUCUAACCAGCAAGUCACGGCUAACUACGUGCCAGCAGCCGCGGUAAUACGUAGGUGGCAAGCGUUGUCCGGAUUUAUUGGGCGUAAAGGGAACGCAGGCGGUCUUUUAAGUCUGAUGUGAAAGCCUUCGGCUUAACCGGAGUAGUGCAUUGGAAACUGGAAGACUUGAGUGCAGAAGAGGAGAGUGGAACUCCAUGUGUAGCGGUGAAAUGCGUAGAUAUAUGGAAGAACACCAGUGGCGAAAGCGGCUCUCUGGUCUGUAACUGACGCUGAGGUUCGAAAGCGUGGGUAGCAAACAGGAUUAGAUACCCUGGUAGUCCACGCCGUAAACGAUGAAUGCUAGGUGUUGGAGGGUUUCCGCCCUUCAGUGCCGCAGCUAACGCAAUAAGCAUUCCGCCUGGGGAGUACGACCGCAAGGUUGAAACUCAAAGGAAUUGACGGGGGCCCGCACAAGCGGUGGAGCAUGUGGUUUAAUUCGAAGCAACGCGAAGAACCUUACCAGGUCUUGACAUCCUUUGACCACCUAAGAGAUUAGGCUUUCCCUUCGGGGACAAAGUGACAGGUGGUGCAUGGCUGUCCUCACCUCGUGUCGUGAGAUGUUGGGUUAAGUCCCGCAACCAAGCGCAACCCUUUGUUGUCAGUUGCCACCAUUAAGUUGGGCACUCUGGCGCAGAACUGCCGGUGACAAACCCGAAGGAAGGGGGGGAAGAAGNUCAAGUCAUCAUGCCCCUUAUGACCUGGGCUACACACGUGCUACAAUGGACGGUACAACGAGUUGCAAGACCGCGAGGUUUAGCUAAUCUCUUAAAGCCGUUCUCAGUUCGGAUUGUAGGCUGCAACUCGCCUACAUGAAGUCGGAAUCGCUAGUAAUCGCGAAUCAGCAUGUCGCGGUGAAUACGUUCCCGGGCCUUGUACACACCGCCCGUCACACCAUGAGAGUUUGUAACACCCAAAGCCGGUGGGGUAACCGCAAGGAGCCAG
rnacentral:rRNA from 2 species